GUUAUAGUUAGAACUUCAUAUAAUAAUUGAAAAAUGUCAUUUAACACAAAAAUCAAUGAAAUAUUAUCAUAUAUUUUGAUUACAAUUUAUUUUGACAGGCUUUUAUAGUUGUAAUACAGAAAUUAUGCCCGGUAUAAAUAAUUGGACCUCUGAAAUACAGAUGUUCACUUCAGUAAGAGUAAUCAGAUUAAGCAGCCUCAACCUGACUAAUCAAGCUCUCAAUAAGAACUUUAAUGAUCUCUGUGAAAAUUUGCUCAAGAGCCUGUACUUUAAACUACGAUCUAUGAUCCCCUGCUGCCUUUGCCAUGUAAAUUUUACAGUAUCUCUGCCUGAAGAUGAAUUAAUUCAGGUUACAGUCACGGCAGUCGCAAUCACUUUUGACAAAAAUCAGGCUUUACAAACCACAAAAACCCCUGUUGAAAAGU
rnacentral:lncRNA from 1 species